GACGAACGCUGGCGGCGUGCUUAACACAUGCAAGUCGAACGGAAAGGCCCUGCUUUUGUGGGGUGCUCGAGUGGCGAACGGGUGAGUAACACGUGAGUAACCUGCCCUUGACUUUGGGAUAACUUCAGGAAACUGGGGCUAAUACCGGAUAGGAGCUCCUGCUGCAUGGUGGGGGUUGGAAAGUUUCGGCGGUUGGGGAUGGACUCGCGGCUUAUCCGCUUGUUGGUGGGGUAGUGGCUUACCAAGGCUUUGACGGGUAGCCGGCCUGAGCGGGUGACCAGCCACAUUGGGACUGAGAUAGGGCCCAGACGGCUACGGGAGGCAGCAGUGGGGAAUAUUGCACAGUGGGCGGAAGCCUGAUGCAGCGACGCCGCGUGCGGGAUGACGGCCUUCGGGUUGUAAACCGCUUUCGCCUGUGACGAAGCGGGAGUGACGGUAAUGGGUAAAGAAGCACCGGCUAACUACGUG
rnacentral:rRNA from 1 species